AUUGAACGCUGGCGGCAGGCUUAACACAUGCAAGUCGAGCGGGGUGAUGGUGCUUGCACUAUCACUUAGCGGCGGACGGGUGAGUAAUGCUUAGGAAUCUGCCUAUUAGUGGGGGACAACAUCUCGAGAGGGAUGCUAAUACCGCAUACGUCCUACGGGAGGAAGCAGGGGAUCACUUGUGACCUUGCGCUAAUAGAUGAGCCUAAGUCGGAUUAGCUAGUUGGUGGGGUAAAGGCCUACCAAGGCGACGAUCUGUAGCGGGUCUGUGAGGAUGAUCCUCCACACUGGGACUGAGACACGGCGCAGACUCCGACGGGAGGCAGCAGUGGGGAAUAUUGGACAAUGGGGGGAACCCUGAUCCAGCCAUGCCGCGUGUGUGAAGAAGGCCUUAUGGUUGUAAAGCACUUUAAGCGAGGAGGAGGCUCUUUUGGUUAAUACCCAAGAUGAGUGGACGUUACUCGCAGAAUAAGCACCGGCUAACUCUGUGCCAGCAGCCGCCGUAA
rnacentral:rRNA from 1 species